UCUAAUAUGGCAGAAUAGUGCAAUAGAUUUAAGCUCUAUAUAUAAAGAUUCAACUUUUAUUAGAA
rnacentral:tRNA from 1 species